GAUGAACGCUGGCGGCGUGCUUAACACAUGCAAGUCGAGCGAUGAAGUUUCCUUCGGGAAACGGAUUAGCGGCGGACGGGUGAGUAACACGUGGGUAACCUGCCUCAUAGAGUGGAAUAGCCUUCCGAAAGGAAGAUUAAUACCGCAUAACGUUGAAAGAUGGCAUCAUCAUUUAACCAAAGGAGCAAUCCGCUAUGAGAGGGACCCGCGGCGCAUUAGCUAGUUGGGGGGGUAACGGCCUACCAAGGCGACGAUGCGUAGCCGGCCUGAGAGGGUGAUCGGCCACAUUGGGACUGAGACACGGCCCAGACUCCUACGGGAGGCAGCAGUGGGGAAUAUUGCACAAUGGGGGAAACCCUGAUGCAGCAACGCCGCGUGAGUGAUGAAGGUUUUCGGAUCGUAAAGCUCUGUCUUUGGGGAAGAUAAUGACGGUACCCAAGGAGGAAGCCACGGCUAACUACGUGCCAGCCGCCGCCGUAAUAC
rnacentral:rRNA from 1 species